rnacentral:lncRNA from 1 species
ACACUGUCUUUUCCAUGUCCAAAACAAUUGAAUUGCUAGGAAUCUCUCACGAUGUUUAUUCUCUUAACAUCUUAAUUAAUUGCUUCUGCCGUUUACAUCUUGUGGAUUUUGGCUUCUCUGUUUUUGGUAAGAUGCUCAAAUUCGGAUUGGAGCCUGACGUUGUGACAUUUACUACCUUAAUUAAUGGGCUUUGUAUAGAGAGUAAAAUCGACAAAGCAGUGGAAUUUUUCGAUGAUAUGGUUGCACGUGGUUAUCAACCUAAUGUUCGUACUUUCAAUGUGAUAGUAAACGGAUUGUGUAAAUUUGGGAAAACAAAUGUGGCUAUUGGGCUACUAAAGGGAAUGACUGAUAGAGGUUGUGAGCCAAAUGUUGUGACAUACAGUGCAAUCAUUGACGCCCUUUGCAAAGAUGAGCUAGUUGGUGAGGCUUUAGAGCUCUUCUCUCAAAUGAGGAAUAAGGGCAUUUCACCUGAUGUCAUCACUUACACUAGUUUAAUUCAUGGUGUUUGCAAAUUAGGCCAAAAGAACCAAGCUUUAGCCUUGAUGAAUGAAAUGGUGGAGCAGAACAUAUCACCUGAUGUUUACACCUUCAGUGUAUUGAUUGAUGCUCUUUGUAAGGAUGGAAUGGUUUCAGAGGCUCAAAAUACAUUCAAUGUAAUGAUUCAAAGAGGUGUAGAGCCUGAUGUGGUCACUUACAAUUCCUUAAUCGAUGGUCUUUGCAUUUCAGACCAAUUCAAGGAAGCUUUGUCCUUGUUGAAAGAAAUGGUGGGGAGGAACAUAUCCCCUGAUGUUUUUACCUUCAAUAUAUUGAUCGACACUCUUUGUAAGAAAGGACUGGUUUCAAAUUCAGAGAGUAUAAUCAAAAUAAUGAUUCAAAGAGGUGUGGAACCUGAUGUUGUCACUUAUAAUUCAUUGAUGGAUGGAUAUUGUCUAGGCAGCCAAAUUGAUAAGGCUAGAAAGCUAUUUGAUCUGAUGGUGACCAAUGAAAUAGCUGGCAUUUUUAGCUACAACAUUUUGAUCAAUGGAUAUUGUAAGUGCAAAAUGAUAGAUGAUGCAAAGCAGAUUUUUUAUGAAAUAUCUCAUAAAGGUUUAGUUCCUGAUGCUUUUACCUAUCAUACUCUUAUAAAGGGUAUGUUUCAAGCAGGGAGGCCCCAAACUGCAAAAGUGCUCUUUAAGGAUAUGUGCUCUCAUGGUCAACAGCCAAAUAUAGUAACCUUCUCAAUUAUGAUUGAUGGCUUGUGUAGACAGGGGAAUCUCGAUGAGGCACUCACCCUAUUGAAAGCAAUGGAGAAAAGUGAGUUGAAGCCUAAUUUUGUGAUCUAUAGCAGUCUGAUCAAUGGUAUGUGCAAAGUUGGGAAGAUUAAUGAUGCCAAGGAACUUUUUUAUAGUCUUUUUGAAAUUGGUUUACAACCUGAUGUUUAUGUAUAUAAUGCAAUUAUGAAAGGACUCUGCCAACAAGGAUUAACGGAUGAAGCUUAUAAGGUAUUUAAAGACAUGGAAAAGGUAGGAUGUUUACCAAAUAAUUGUUGUUAUAAUAUCAUCAUUCAAGGGUUUCUCAGGCAUGAGGAUUUACCAAAAGCAUCAGAAUUAAUCAAUGAAAUGGUUGAUAAGGGGUUCUCUUCUAAUGAUGCUACCACAGAAUUGGUAGUACAUUUAUCGCGGAAUAAUGAUCUCAUUCUGAGGCUUUUAAAGGUGCGCAAUGAGGGAUCAACAAACUAAAGUUGUUAUAUCUUGACCAUUCAAGUGUGUCUUGGAGCACAACUUGGUAAUUACCUUUUUCAAAUAUAAUAGAUAUGUAAUUUAACUAAUUUCUUCAAAUAUCAUUUUUAAUUUCAAUCAGCUGUGAUUCUCUUCUACAAAAUGAAAUUUUCUAACACCGCAAAUGACCUGUCAUGGUUUACCACGAGCAGACUCGCGAAUAAACUCGUAAAUAGUUUCGUUAAGCAGGCUGAAAUUAAUAAUAUAAGAGAAAUAAAUUCAAAUCUUACAUAUACUUUUAUGAGUCAAAUUUAAAUUUUAUAAAGUUCAAUUUAAUAUUGUGUAAUUAGACUAUUAAAACUUGCAUAUAUUUGGAUCGUUAAGAGUUCAUCUUUAUAAGUUUAAGAGCUAAUUUGUAUAUGUGAAGGUCAGCUGUUUGCUUGAUGUGGGACGUCCCUCUCAUCGGCAGAGUACGAAAAAUCAAAAUUGUAUAUAAUAGUUAAUUACGAAACUACUAAAUAACUUGGAUUAACUAUUUUGGGCCAAGUGGAAAGUAGGUCAAAAGUUAUUUGGGUUAGUUUGGGCCGGAUUGUUAUGCUUACUUAAUGUAGGAAGACGUCCCACAUCGACGGAAAAUGAAACUACAAGUAAAAAGUGGGCACUUUCCAAAAAUUAUUUAGGUGGGUCGAGCCGUUUCAGUAUAUAUACUUAUUUAGUUUUAAACUAAAACUCAUUACACAUAUAAAUAAAUUAAAUUAUUGGUGAAUUAUUUGAGACUAAACUCAAUAAAAACUUGACUAGUCUAAGUUUAUUUGCUAAAAGAGUCAAAUUUGAACUUAUUAAUACUCCACUUAAAAAAAUUUUAACGGACUAAAUUUGAACUCUUCAAAACGAUUAGUUUACACUCUAAGUAAAUUUUAAAAAGUGUUUAAAUUACUAAUAAGCUCUAAAUCCAAAUUACCAAAAAAUUACUAACGGAUUUGAAAAUCCGUUACUAAACUUUAUCAUCAAAUUAAUAAGUAAAAAAAAAAUAUUAAAUUUAUCAACAGAUGCUACCUGCUAGUAAAUCCGUUGAUAAAUUUAAAAUAAAAUCCUACAUAAAAUUCUUUCUUUUUUUUUUUACAACUCACAUUUUUCAGUUACCAACGGAUUUGCUAAUAAAUUUUAGUAACGAAUUACAAAUUUAUUAAUAAUUCGCGUUUAUAAAUAUAACACCAGCUCCUCUGCUUUUAUUAUUCGUUCAUCUUAUCAUCCGCCUUUCUUCCAUUUUUUCCCUUUCUCUCAUUUUCAUUCUUUUUCUUUCUUUCUUUCAUUUCACUUUUUUAUCUCAUAAUUUUUUUUUCUAUUAUUUUUCUUUCAUCUCUUAUCCUAUUUUCUCUAAUUCUCUUUCGUCUUCUAUUACUCUUUUUCAUUUUUCAUUUUCUCCAUUUUCUUUUCCAUCUUUUUAUUUCCUUUCCUCUUAUCUUCUUCAUUUUUUCUAUAAUUUUCAUUCAUAUUAAUUUUUUAAUAUUAUUUUCUCCUAUCAUUUUCUUUCUAUCUAUAUUUUUCUAUUAUUUUAUCUUUAUUUAUUUUCUUCUCUAAUCAUUUGUUCAUUUUUUUUCAUUUUUCUAAUUAUCUUUUUACUCAACUCUCAUUCUUUCUUCUUUUUCAUAAUUUUUAUUUUUCUAUCAUUUUCUUUAUUUUUCUCUUUUUUCUUUCUUUUUUAUUAUUUUCUCUCAUUUUGUACUAUUUGUUUUUUUUUUUAUUUGCACUUUCUAUGUAUUUCUAAUAAAUAUUGAAUAUAAAUUAAAAACUUAAUAACAAUAAUAAUAUAAUUUUAAGUCUUAUUAAAUUAAUAAAAAAUUAUUUAAAUUCUUAAUAAAUUUACUAAUGGAAUGCAAUUCGUUAAUAAUUUACUAACGGAUUUCACAUAUGUUAAUAAAUUAUUUUUCUUUUAUACUAACAGAUUUAAAAUUUGUUAGUAAUUUGGAAUCUGUCGGUAAUAAUAAUGAAAACUCCGUUAAUAAAUCCGCUAGUAUUACUAACGAAUUUGAAAGUCGGUAAAAAUUUACCGUCAAACUUUUUAACAACGGAUCGUAAUCUAUUAGUAAUCAAUUGUUAAUUUAUUUACCAUUGGAUUUUUAUUGAAUUGCCAAUGAAAAAAUCACUGCAUUAUCAAUACAAAUUAAGAAGUUGUUGAUUCAUAUAUUUACAAUAAAAUGUCUUUUAAACUCUUAAGACUUUUGAAGCUAAAAUUGAAAAAACAUUCAUGAUGUUGUAUUUCUCCUUUGGUUGAAAUUGUUAUUCAUGCAAGAUGAUUUUUUCUGUUGUAACACUUUGGAAUGAUGUCUAUUAUUGGAAUGCAUAUGAUUGUUUGACUAAUAUAAAACAGAUAUAAGAAGUAUAUAGUUAAAAAGAUAAUUAUAAUUUUUAGCAAUAAACAUUUAAUAAAAAUAUUAAAUUUUUGAUAAUUUUAUAUUUUUAUGAUUAGAUUCACACAAUAAUUUAAUUUUCUAAUUUAACAUUUAUUAUGUAAUCUUAUAAAUAAAAUGUUUAUAAUUUUAAUUUUUAUGAAAUUUUGUACAUAAAUAUAUUCAUACUUUAAAAAUAUUAUUCUUAUAAUUUAUAAUACAAUAUAAUGUCUAUUAAAUGCAUAGAAAUAAUUUACAUAUUAUAAAUUUACGUUAAUAUUAUUAAUAAUAAAAUAAAAUUUAAAAUGCAAAAUAUAUUUAGUGAGUUUAACAUUUCAAAAUUUUAUUAUUUUGAAAUAAUUUUAUAUAUUAAUUUUUUACUGAUAUUAAUUAAAAUUAUAAUAUUAUUCAAAUAAAAUGUCAAAAUAAAAAUGUGCCAAACAGUUCUCAUGAGAGUNNNNNNNNNNNNNNNNNNNNNNNNNNNNNNNNNNNNNNNNNNNNNNNNNNNNNNNNNNNNNNNNNNNNNNNNNNNNNNNNNNNNNNNNNNNNNNNNNNNNNNNNNNNNNNNNNNNNNNNNNNNNNNNNNNNNNNNNNNNNNNNNNNNNNNNNNNNNNNNNNNNNNNNNNNNNNNNNNNNNNNNNNNNNNNNNNNNNNNNNNNNNNNNNNNNNNNNNNNNNNNNNNNNNNNNNNNNNNNNNNNNNNNNNNNNNNNNNNNNNNNNNNNNNNNNNNNNNNNUUCAAUUAAAUAUAAGGUACGGUUAUAAUAAAAUAUUAUUUUUAUGAAAAUAAAUUUAAUUAAAUCUCUAUAUUUUUAUUAAGAGUCACAUAAAUUCAAUUUAAAAUUUUUAAAAUUUUAAGCUAAUUAAACUAUGUAAUUUUAUUAAAGGCUAAAUAGAUUCUAACUUAAUAUUAUUUUUUAAUAAUAAAAUAUUAUUUUUAUAAUUUAAAACAUUAAAAUUUUAGUAUUUUAAUUAAAAUUAAAAAUUUUAAAAUAUAUAUAAAUAUAAUAAAUAAUUUCUAAAAUUAUAUAAAUAAAGUUUUAUCAUAUAAAAAUUUUUAUUAUUAAAAAAUAAUAUUAUGUUAAAUUAUGAUUUAUUUAAUUUUUGAGUAAUAAUAUAGAGAUUUAAUUUAUCCAAAAUUUUAAAUUAAAAUUAUUUAACUCUUCAAUAACGUGAGACUUAAUUGCAUUUAUAUUUACAAAAUUAUUUAUUAUAAAAUGAUAAAUUUAAUUUGUUAUUAAAUAAUAUUUUUAUAUGAAAAAUUAAUAAAAAAAUUACAAAAUGUGGCGCAUAUAAACAAUUCCUAAUUUCCUUUUGUUAUCCAUGCCACUUUACCAGCUGGCAGAGAGCCUUCCUUUUCCAAUUCUCUAUUUCCUUUCCUCAUUCCAAAUCUCCGAUCCAUCCCUAAAAACAACUGACGAGAGAUCGAUGAUGAUGAAGAUGCCUUGGAGGAGGAAGAGUAGGAGCUUACAUGUUCAACUACAAGGGGCAAUUGGUACCACUCAAUCUCCAUUCCUAUUCUUGUUUACCAAUUAUUGCCAUUCUUCUACUUCCACACUUGAAGAUGCACGCUUCUUGACAAAUAACUUCAAAUCUGCUUCUUUUACCCACCUUGAUGAUGCCAUUGCUUCCUUCAAUCAUGUAAUUCAUAAGCAUCCUCUGCCUUCUAGGGUUCCAUUUAAUAGAUUCUUAUCUGCCCUUGUGAAAAUGAAACAAUAUCACACUGUCCUUUCCAUGUCCAAAACAAUUGAAUUGCUAGGAAUCUCACACAAUCUUUAUUCUCUUAGUAUCUUAAUUAAUUGCUUCUGCCAUUUACACCUUGUGGAUUUUGGCUUCUCUGUUUUUGGUAAGAUGCUCAAAUUCGGAUUGGAGCCUGACGUUGUGACAUUUGCUACCUUAAUUAAUGGGCUUUGUAUAGAGAGUAAAAUCGACAAAGCAGUGGAAUUUUUCGAUGAUAUGGUUGCACGUGGUUAUCAACCUAAUGUUCGUACUUUCAAUGUGAUAGUAAACGGAUUGUGUAAAUUUGGGAAAACAAAUGUGGAAUGGUUUCAGAGGCUCAAAAUACAUUCAAUGUAAUGAUUCAAAGAGGUGUAGAGCCUGGUGUGAUCACAUACACAUCCUUAAUUGAUGGUCUUUGCAUUUCAGACCAAUUCAAGGAAGCUUUGGCCUUGUUGAAAGAAAUGGUAGGGAGGAACAUAUCCCCUGAUGUUUUUAC